AUUGAACGCUGGCGGCAGGCCUAACACAUGCAAGUCGAACGGUAACAGGAAGAAGCUUGCCUCUUUGCUGUCGAGUGGCGGACGGGUGUGAAAUGUCUAGGAAACUGCCUGAUGUAGGGGGAUAACUACUGGAAACGGUAGCUAAUACCGCAUAACGUCCCAAGACCAAAGAGGGGGGCCUUCUGGCCUCUUGCCCUCGGAUGUGCCCAGAUGGGAUUAGCUAGUAGGUGGGGUAACGGCUCACCUAGGCGACGAUCCGUAGCUGGUCUGAGAGGAUGACCAGCCACACUGGAACUGAGACACGGUCCAGACUCCUACGGGAGGCAGCAGUGGGGAAUAUUGGACAAUGGGCGCAAGCCUGAUGCAGCCAUGCCGCGUGGAUGAAGAAGGCCUUCGGGUUGUAAAGUACUUUUGGCGGGGAGGAAGAGAGUAAGGUUAAUACCUUGCCGCAUUGACGUUACCCGAAGAAGAAGCACCGGCUAACUCCGUG
rnacentral:rRNA from 1 species